rnacentral:rRNA from 1 species
UUUAUGGAGAGUUUGAUCCUGGCUCAGGAUGAACGCUGGCGGCGUGCCUAAUACAUGCAAGUCGAGCGAACAGACGAGGAGCUUGCUCCUCUGACGUUAGCGGCGGACGGGUGAGUAACACGUGGAUAACCUACCUAUAAGACUGGGAUAACUUCGGGAAACCGGAGCUAAUACCGGAUAAUAUAUUGAACCGCAUGGUUCAAUAGUGAAAGACGGUUUUGCUGUCACUUAUAGAUGGAUCCGCGCCGCAUUAGCUAGUUGGUAAGGUAACGGCUUACCAAGGCAACGAUGCGUAGCCGACCUGAGAGGGUGAUCGGCCACACUGGAACUGAGACACGGUCCAGACUCCUACGGGAGGCAGCAGUAGGGAAUCUUCCGCAAUGGGCGAAAGCCUGACGGAGCAACGCCGCGUGAGUGAUGAAGGUCUUCGGAUCGUAAAACUCUGUUAUUAGGGAAGAACAAAUGUGUAAGUAACUAUGCACG